GUCACUGUUCUGGUUGUUCUACAAUACUGAGCUGGACCACGCGGCCAUGUGUGGAAGUUGUUCUAUCCUAGUAUACAUAAGAACCUAUUUAGUUCUAUCAUAAACGAGCCAUAAUCGAUAUGGUGUCACGCUACAAAAGCCUAUUUCAUUGUACGGUUCUACUUUUCUAUCUGAGAUAGAUAAUAGCAAUAAUUAAAUAUAGUUCCUUCUAUAAUAUUUAUUUAUUUUAUAUAUUUUUUAUUAGUUUAUCAUAUAUUAUAUCUGCUUCCGAAUAUGCUUCAAAUUGUACCGUGUUUGGUCUCAUUUUAUUUUAUUUAGAAAAAUAUAACAAAUAUGUUAGUAAAAGUUUCAUUCAUUACUAUGGUUGAUCGUUCGGGAUUGAUUGGCGUUUACACGUGACAUACUUUUAUAUAAUAUAAUGUAUAUGAACAAUAUAUAUAUGUAUUAAAUGGUUUCUAAAGAUAUAUUUCUUACUAUUUACACUGUCCUUUUUAAUUAAGAUAUAAUAUUAUUGUUCUAAAAUGAUUAAAACGAAUCAAAUAAUCAGCUUUUUUGCGAAAACUUACAAAACUUUUACUAACAAACUUUCUUACACUUUUGUAAGUAAAAUAACACCAAAUACGAUAUAAAGUGUAUUAUAACUAGUUCAUAAUCUUAUAUUAUUUAAACAAUGAAAAUAUAUAUAUAAUAUAAUGAAGAAAGUGUUAUCAAAUGAUGGCGUUAUAAUCAACAAAUUCUAUUAGUUGCUGCUUUUCAAAAAUUCGAAAUAAUAUAACAUUUUGAAUUUUAUAUUAUUAUUGAAAAAUGUUAAGCUUCACAUUGUUAUGUAAUAGAAAAUAAGUUACGGGAAAUUAUUUCUUAAAUAUGAAAUUUAUAAAUAAAGUAUGGUAUAAUCGCUAAAUACAUAUAGCAUUUGAUAUAUCAUUAUUCAUUUGAAAUAUUCGCCUACUACUUACAACAUAAAUGUCAAUAAGUAUAUAUAGAUAUAUUAAAUAUUUUUGUCGAAUUAUUGACAUUUUUACCUAUUUUCUUCUUCACUGUAUUAUUAAGGUAUUACCUUUAUAUUGAUUUAAAAUGUAAUGUGAUUGAUAAAAUUUUAUAUUUGUUUCUAUGACUCGAAAAAUCUUGACAAUUCCAUGAGAAUGAUGUCUGGAUUUCCGUUUUCUGAUAGUUGCCCGCUAAAGUAUACAUAUACACGUGAGUAGCGGUAGCACUCAUUGAAGUGAUGAUCCUUGGAUAUGAUCAUUGGAUAAUCUAGUACAUUUUUCUUUUAAUAAGCACUUGGCCGCAUGGAGCAGCACUAGUUCGGGAACAAUCAGGUCUAUUAGUGUGAGCAUUCUCAUUUCCUCUCUGACAGCAGUUCCGCCAGUAUGAUCGAUAACCGCGCUUUCUUCAAUCUUCAUAAAUGACAUUAUAUGAUUAUCAUGAUUAUUAUUACUUAUUACAUAAUAUAAUAGGAUUGUAUUGUUAUUUUACGUAUCCAUAGAUAUAACACAAGCUUAAAAAUAAAAAUAACAUUAAAUCUGUAAGUUACAAUUUAUUAAAUAUGAUAUACAUUUACGUAUAUUACUUACUAUAAACAUUUUGACACAUUUUCCUUCACAAUUUCCCCUAAGUUAUAAUUAAAUUAUUGCAAUGUAUGGUGGCCAUAAUAUUAUUUCAUAAAUACACAUAUUUACACGUGACCACUACUAUUGCUGGGACAAAGAUGUGGUUUUUACACCAAUAAUAAAGUAAUGAGAUUGUUAUUUUAUUUAAUGGUGAAAUUAAUCGUCAGUCUUUUACUUUAUAUUCAAUGAAAAACCACAUAUAUAGUACAUUAGGAAAAAUAUGAUCUAAUGGUAUAAUGUCACCUUGAUUCCGCAAAUAUUGUUGUCCUAACAAUGUUUUUACAUAAAAGAAAUACAAUGUGACUUUGAAAAAUUCGAAUCUAUCAAAAAUUGAUGGUUUACAAAUGCGUAAAGUAACACAAUUCUAUAUUGUACUAUACACA